UUUUGUCUUGUUGAUCUAUCCAUCAUUGAUAGUGGAGUGUUGAAGUCUCCUACUACAGAUGUGUUUUCUCUGAUGUCUGUUUUCAGAGAUGAUAAUAGUUGUCUGAUAUAGUUUUGUGCUCCUUCAUUUGUGAUUGAGAAAUAAUCACCGACACACUGGACUGAAGGUUAGCAAGCUCAGGUUUAUUGCAAGAAAGACUCCUGACAGCAGGAGGGGGUCCAAGGGAGGAGCCCAUUGAUGUUGGCGAGAAACUCAUUAUCACACUACAAGACUCAUUUGGGAAAUCAUCUGCUUCAGGAAGAUUUUCAUGAAUCUUUAGAUAGAACUAAACCUCUUCUACUAUGUUUAUGUAUGGGACAGAAUUCCAAUUCCUUGGAUCCAAGUCUUAUUUACAUAUUUCCAGAAAAAAUAUUCUUCUAUAAAAGUAUUCCAUGCAUAUUGUCAGAGUUUCAAGGAAAUGGUUCAUAGUGGCAAUCCUUUAUAUGCUUCAUUUAUGCAUGUGGACAUUUAUUUGCUAGCUCCAAUUCUGUGUCCCAGCAUAUAAGUAAGAAGGGUGUGAGUUCAAGUAUAUGGUGACAUUCCUCCAAACUGACAAGACUGAAAGGAUUCCAGGGAAAGUUGGAUCAAGAUUAUCAAAACUGACCCAGCUAUAGAAGAUUUUAAAAAUGAUGCAUAAAAAGAUUAAUAAAA